CUUAAAACCUAAAGAGUUUAGUUGGUUCAAGUUGGUAUUUUCGGUAAGGUGGUAAUACCAUGUCAAAAUUCAUAUUAAUUCUAUUGGUAGUGUCAUUUCACAUAAUAACAGCACAAAACAGAACACAACAAGCAACAAUAAACACCAUUGAAAAUGUAAUAAGAAACAUUGUAAAUACAUUAACAAACUGGUCACAAGGUGCUCAAAGAUUAGGAUCUAGUUUUACAUCAGCAAUAAACUUUCUUCAAAACAUGGCACAGCAAAUCCUUCAACGUAUUGAACCUUUGAUCGGAAGAUUUAUUAAUCCCACGAGCAGUGCCAGACCACCAAUCGCAAGAAGAAGCUUACAGAAGAGAAAUGUGCAAGAGGUGGAUUUCAGAAACCACUUUUUCCACCGGAACUUUUAGAAAAAAAUUGCUACAAGUCUAAACUGCCAUCAAAUCGUGAGAUUUCUGAGAUGUUUCAUGUAACAAAAACUGUAUAAUUUUAUGAAAAAUACACGUGUGUCAAUUGUCAA